rnacentral:tRNA from 1 species
GUUUAAGUAGCUCAGUGGUAGAGUUGAACUGAAAAUUCAAACUGUCAGUGGUUCAAUUCCACUCUUGAACA